rnacentral:rRNA from 1 species
AGAGUUUGAUCCUGGCUCAGGAUGAACGCUGGCGGCGUGCCUAAUACAUGCAAGUCGAACGAGGUGCUUUUGUAGCAAUACGAGAGUAUCCUAGUGGCGAACGGGUGAGUAACGCGUUGGUGACCUACCCCAAAGUGUGGGAUAACAGUCCGAAAGGACUGCUAAUACCGCAUGUGGUCUUCGGGCCUAGAAACCGAUGACUAAAGGAGCAAUUCGCUUUGGGAGGGACCUGCGUCCCAUCAGCUAGUUGGUAGGGUAAUGGCCUACCAAGGCUACGACGGGUAGGGGACCUGAGAGGGUGGCCCCCCACAAUGGAACUGAAACACGGUCCAUACACCUACGGGUGGCAGCAGUAGGGAAUAUUGCACAAUGGGCGAAAGCCUGAUGCAGCAACGCCGCGUGCGCGAUGAAGGCCUUCGGGUCGUAAAGCGCUUUUCUGAGAGAUGAGAAAGGACAGUAUCUCAGGAAUAAGUCUCGGCUAACUACGUGCCAGCAGCCGCGGUAAUAC